UGUUGCUCUGUGAGCAGCACAGGGCUCCCUGUAAUCUGUGGCAUAAGUAGGGGCACAGAAGGCUGUGCUCAGGGGUACUUUCAGUGAAUGAGAAACUACAAUUUGGAGGAAUUUCCAAAGGAGGGAAAAUACAUUCAAAUAUGGAGAGAAACUUUCAGAGCCAGGUGAUAAUCAGCGUACAAAUGCAUACUUAAUUUGCAUUUCAUGCACCUUUAGGUAACUGCAGAACCCAUGGGGACCCUCACUGGGAUAAAAAGGAUCCAGCUCAAUCUCUGCUUACACAGAGGCAGCAGACAAGGCUGGAGAGCUGACUCCCUGCACCACAGGGUCUCAAGGAAAAAUCCAAAGACAUUGCUGAAUGCUAGGAUCCAGCAGUUCCAUUUGUGUGCCUGCAUCUCUGGACCGGCAUGCCAGACACUGGCAUGCUAGACUCCAUUGCAGAAGGGAUGCAACCCACCAGGUGAAAGGCAACCAAACCACCAUGUGGAUUCUUAUGCACGACUUGGAGAAACACACCCUGCAUGCUGUCUGUGUGAUCAGUAAAUUAAAGAAGUUAUACCUGCAAACCUCUCUUGACUCCCAGUUUUAAAAUUUACAAAUAAUGGACCAAAACUCCAGCUAAUGAAAAAUGCAAACCUAGUGCCCAUGAAAGUGAGGCAGUUACUCACAUAGUCAGUUGAUUCAGCUCCUAUGACCACUGACCCAAGACUGCAAGACUUGCCUCACAAAAUAUGUAGAAAAGAAUAUUAUAUUAGCCCAUGAUGGCCAAAGUAUUAAAAUGCUGUAAAUUGUGAGGCCCAGUUACAUAUUCUACAAAAGGAAGUUCUAGGACUUGAUAAUAUAGUUCUUUCUUCUUACUUUCCCACUUACAUUUACCCAGGCAAUAGGUAAACAGCCUACUGAAAACUAGUUUUCCUCAGUCCUUCAGAGAUGUAAUGGUCCUAUUAAGCUCUGUGGAAAAAAUUCAGAGUAUACUGCAUGUAUAUUACAAGCUAAUAAACUUACAAGCACAACAACAUUAACAUUUAUAUAACAGGAGUAGGGCAUUACAUUUAAUAACACAAAAAUGUAAUAAGGUAAGGUGUCAUUACUCAUGGUAAUAUAAACAUUUCCCUAUUUGUCUGUCUAAGGCAAACAUUCAAAGUCCACUGCAAAUGUGGCUACUGACUUCAGUGGGUUUUGAGUAAAAAAGAGCAACAGACAUCCUAGAGACAAUUGUAUUGAAAGGUGUGGAGAAAGCAUUGUACAUGUGGAAGCACUAUAGACAGGUUAUGGUAUAAUAAUAGUCUGGUUCCAAGAGCUUCCUGCUUAAAAUGAAAAUUAUUCUACUAAGAGUGGCUUGGAUCAAGAGAAAGUUAAGAGACAUCUCUAUCCAGUUUUUGCU